UACGAAGGAUGCAAGCGUUAUCCGGAUUCAUUGGGUUUAAAGGGAGCGUAGGUGGCCUUAUAAGUCAGUGGUGAAAUCUCUGGGCUUAACCCAGAAAUUGCCAUUGAUACUGUAGGGCUUGAGUACAGUUGCUGUGGGCGGAAUAUGACAUGUAGUGGUGAAAUACAUAGAGAUGUCAUAGAACACCGAUUGCGAAGGCAGCUCACAAAACUGUAACUGACACUGAGGCUCGAAAGUGCGGGGAUCAAACAGG
rnacentral:rRNA from 1 species